UGUGACAUCUGUCACCCAUAAUCUUAUGAUGUUUGUAAAAUGCAUCCCAAUUAGAGACAAGUCAAACGAUUUCCUGCGGCCAGAAGUUAUACAGAUCAGAAAUUGUUAUUGCGAAUUAAAAUAUUCGCGACUGUUUUCCGGAAAAUUACGGACACUGACGAAAAUGAAAUUAAAAAUAAAAACAAUAGUUUAUUGCUGUUCAUAAAUAAUAUCUAAAACAGUAUCCAAACCUAUUUUGUUUUGACUAUUAUUAAUACAUUGUUGCCUGAAAAUUAUCUAUGCCAGCUAUAUUGCAAAAACCAUAAAUGCGAUAUCGGUAAAAAAAAUCACGUGAAAACACCCAUCGUCUUUAAGUUUCUAAUAUACUGUAACGUCUAAUCGAAAUUACAAUUAAAGUAAAACUGAAUAAAAUAUUCCCACAACAUUUGAAAACAUAGGCACCGAUGUAAGAGGCUAUUGAUGACAUACUUCACGUGCAUUGAAAUCAGCAUUAUUACUACACGCUCACCUAAUUUAUAAAUACAUAUUUUAAAUUAAGAAAAGAAAUGAUAUUGUUAUCAAAUACAGCGUUCAUCACGAGGAUUUUGAACUAAAACUUUCUUUAAAUUACAUUUCAUCAAAUUCGACUAUUAACCAAAUUUCCGCAUGACAAACUUUUCGUCUACGACUACAAAAAGGUGUGUGAAUUGUAUUUAGGCUUGGUCUUUUCAUUUAUAUCCUUUUAAAAAUGCAUCCGUCUAAUUUAGAUUAGUUGCAGAUGACGCGAUAAAAAGACGCAGAUGUUAUUAUGCGAAAGUCAAAAUACUCUUUAUCUACAAAAUAAAUGUAUACGAACGAACAGUUUACCUAGUAACAAAGAAUGCGAAAAAGGAUGUGGUAUGUAAAUAUUCAACUUGUUUAUAAACUUUAAUCUUAACCCCCCUGAUUAAAGAAACUGAUUAAUGUGGGAUUGCGCAACAUUACUAACAAGACAAAAGCUACAUAUUAAUAACAUACCAAGUAGCGAUUUUCUAUUCAACCAAAGUAUUCCAUCAGUGUACGUGACAGUUCAGAAUUUUUGGUUUGGUUUGUCAAAUUCAUACUACUUUAAUAUAUUUAAAGAAAGUGUUGUCUUUUAACGACUAAAUAAAACUUAUGUUUAUAUUAAUAAAAAUGAAUGCCGGUACCGUAUUUCUUUUUCUACUUGGCAUAAUGAGAGGUAUCUCAUUUCCAAGUAAGUAUAUUUCUUUCUGUUUUAUAGAGAAUAACAGGCUACUGUCUUUUGAUGUCAAUGUUAUCAGGUCGAGGCUAAUAUGGGCUGGAAGGGGUGAGGGAACCGAUGAAUGAUUCCGGUUUUAACCUCAAUACCUGGAAAACUGAUAGAGACAGACCCAUAAUAGUACAUAUUUUCGGAACCUACUUGAAAAGAUCUUUCUAACGGUUCCGGUCCCGAGCCUGUACAAUGACUUUGAAAUUUAAUGACUUCAUUUCCUGUUUGCACCUAGGUUAUGGCAAAGUGUACCCUGUAGGCUUUUCAAAAAUGUCAAAAUGUAAAAAUGGACCCUUAAACGUCUUAUUUUUGAUGACUUUUAGCAACCUUCUCAAAAAAUACCUUACUGGUUCUAAAACUCUAGAUGGUCAUUGAAAAUGUUGACAUUUUUUUUUAGAAAACUAUCAAAAUAUUCUUUAACAUCAUAUUAUUGAUGGUAUUAAAGAGGCACUUUGGUCCGUAUGUGACCAAGACCUGAUGUCGCUUCCCUUCCUGUACUCAAUACAUGGAUUAACUUGGACAGAUCAAUAGGCCUUUGUUAAUGCAUCCGGCCAUAAGUCAGCACACGCUAGACUGUGUGGCGACUUUAAACUGAUUAAUUUUGACAGUUGAAUAGGCUAUUGUUAACGCAUCCGCUCUUAAAUAAAUACACGCCAGGCAUUGUGGCGACUUUAAAGAGAUUACCUUUGACAUGUAUACUUUUUAUUGUCCGGCCGUCCGGCCUUAAAAUCAUUGUGAACAAUAGGUCCGAGUAUGCGCAUUUAGGGAUAAUACACUUAAGAUUGGAGUCAUUUUGUCAGUAGACGCCAAGGAGGAAACAUCGUAAGCAAAAAAGUAAUAUUUUACUUUCAGUUAACGUUACUUCUAACGUAGCUUUCUUAAAUAAAGCUUAAUGUUUUUAAUUAAAAAUAUAAUAAAUAUUUUGCUUUAAAUUAUUUUUAAUAAGUUCUUUUUUUACCAUACAAUGUAUUUAUUCAUUUACGUUAUAGAUCAGUCUAUAUGAUUAUCAAUUGAACAUAAUUUACAUAUAGUUUUUUGUUUUCAUGUUAUCUCCCCAGCUAGGGCUGAGCACCUGACCCUCAAUGUGCACGACCACGCCCAAGAUAGGUAUAUAAGCCAGCUCUAUAUACUUUAGGGAGAUUUAAAUAGCAGUGUGAGGUCAUUCUUAAAAUAGAAAGAUUAUGUCAUUCUUAAAAUAGAAUUCAAAAUGGCCGCUGCGCAUGACGUCAUAGAUCCAAGAUGGCCGCCACGCAUGCGCAGUAAUGUCCCCAAACCGGCCCCUAUACUACUAACGGUUAAUGAAUAUCAAUUACGGCACAAGCAAUAUAUAGAAUUGGUGCUGACGUAUGAAUCACGAGCCAUCAGCGUUACUCUCCUAGACACUUUAAAAACACCCAUGUUGCUGAUAAAAUGUUGUGUUUUAUUUUCAGGUUACUUAUUAUUAUAAUUAAAUAUUUCCCUUAAACCUUAUACAGAGGAGUACUAUUUAUUCAAAACCCAAAAUGUUAUCCCAUAUCUUUGUUCAACACUGAUUUUCAGGCAACAUCUAACACAAUAGGCCUGUCAAACAUUUUAAUGAUGAAACCUUUAUAAUUUGACGUUAUAGGCGUACCGCUUACAUUUCAUGUAAAUAUUCGCCAAAUGUAAAAGCAAAACGUAGCUGCAUCGAUAUUUGAUAAAAUGUAAAGAAAUGAGAACAUUUUUUUUCGGGUAUUUGUUAAUAAUCCCUCAAGCAAACAGCAACUUAGAACUGCAUCGUUUAAAAACCAAAGGACAUUAAGUCUUUAGAACAAACAGGAUGGGUGGUCUGGAUCCAUGCUGGUCGCAUAUGCACUAUGUUGGUUUUCUCAUGGCGCGGCUCAUUUUAUAUUCCAGAAAGUAUGAUAGAAGAAACAACCGCGACGGCAACCAUAUAUCACGUUCUGAAACACAUAAAUUAAAGUUCGAAAUAAAAUAACGCCUGCUGAUAUUGGAGUUAUUUUGACGCAUUGAUUCAUUAUGAAGAAUAGUACUGUUUAUAGAUGAACAACACAAAAUAUGAGAAUGAGAUCUAAUCAAAUUAAAAAAAGUAAUUAAUUGUGUAAUGUUUAUUACUGUAUUAUUCCUUUAAACUAUAAGGUAAACUAUUGAAAUAGUGAUGAUAAUGUUGUAUUCUUUUUCGGGUUUUCAGACACGAAUCCAUAUGAGUGUUACAAAUGUAACAAGACAGACUCAAACAGUGCCUGUAACCAUGAAACGGAAGUGUGUAAACAGAACAAACAGUCAUGCCAGACAAUUGUAGAGUGGAAGGGAUACAGGUAUGAAGUAAGGAAAGGCUGCAAAAAUCCGACAGCUAAUAGCGCGAAUGCGAAGUUAGGAUACAAGAAGGCGGGCCAAAAGGUUUUAUGUCGAUACGAAUGCACGGGAAAGUUAUGCAAUGAACCUCUCCCAGCAAGAGAUUUGGACAAGUAGGUAGUCGCAGUUGAAACAAAGACACUAAUGAAGUGGACACCAAACCGUUAACCUCCAAACUGUUAAUUUUCUGUUACAAAAAAAUUUAAUCAUUUUAUUCUCAUUUUGUGAUAUUUUUGUGUCCCAGAUGGAUAUUUUUCCUUGUAUUUCUGACUCGCUACAGAGUGACAUUAUGUUAACCACAUAUGACAGUGUUUUGAAACUUUGUCAGGUGUUGAAUUAAACAAAAAGUGAUAAUAGCUAUUUCUAUUGAAAUAUUUCUUGUAACCUGUGUAGAUUCUCUUUCCUCUAGUAUAAUUUACUUUGAGAGAAAACUGUUACAAUAAAUUUUAUUGCUUACAAUUUUGAAAUUCAUGGAAUAAAAUGUAAUUCAUUCCUGUUGUCAUUUUUGUUGAAUAAAAGCUAUUGUCACAGUAACACUCCUAGUGACUGAAUAGCAGGACUGCAUUCCUAGAUGGAUAUUUGGUUCAGUGAAAUAAUCGAAGUAUCAGUUCCAACAUUUUACGAGCUGCGUAGUCAAGAAAGAGUAAAUUGUUAAUUUUGUUAAUCAUAAUAGGUUUGAUAUCAUCAUAAGAACAAAAA